CCUACGGGACGCAGCAGUGGGGGAUAUUGCACAAUGGGGGAAACCCUGAUGCAGCGACGCCGCGUGGGUGAAGAAGCGCCUCGGCGCGUAAAGCCCUGUCAGCAGGGAAGAAAAUGACGGUACCUGAAGAAGAAGCCCCGGCUAACUACGUGCCAGCAGCCGCGGUAAUACGUAGGGGGCAAGCGUUAUCCGGAUUUACUGGGUGUAAAGGGAGCGUAGACGGCAUGGCAAGUCUGAUGUGAAAACCCGGGGCUCAACCCCGGGACUGCAUUGGAAACUGUCAGGCUAGAGUGUCGGAGAGGCAA
rnacentral:rRNA from 1 species